rnacentral:rRNA from 1 species
GUUUCAACGGGUAACGGGGAAUUAGGGUUCUAUUCCGGAGAGGGAGCCUGAGAAACGGCUACCACAUUCCAAGGAAGGCAGCAGGCGCGCAAAUUACCCAAUACCCGACACGGGGAGGUAGUAGACAAUAAAUACUGAUACAGGGCUCUUUUGGGUCUUGUAAUAUGGAAUGAGUACAAUUUAAAUCCCUUAACGAGGAACAAUUGGAGGGCAAGUCUGGGUGCCAGCAGCCGCGGUAAAUUCCAGCUACCAAUAGCGUAUAUAUAAAGUUGUUGCAGUUAAAAAGCUCGUAGUUGAACCUUGGGCCUAGGCUGGCCCGGUCCGCCUCACCGCGUGCACUGGUCCGGCCGGGCCUUUCCUUCUGGGGAGCCGCAUGCCCUUCACUGGGUGUAGUCGGGGAACCAGGACUUUUACUUUGAAAAAAUUAGAGUGUCAAAGCAG